AUGGCUUUUCUGUCCUAGGUAGGCCUUGCCUACUUAGGUAUAGGAAUGGGGUAUGGAGCGGAUCCUAAGUGUGUGUUGUGUAAUCAAGAUCAUGAAUCUCAUGAACAUCUCUAUUUUGGAUGAAUUUCUCAAGAAGAGUUUUUCUGGUUUGGAGGGGUACUACCAGUGGGUCGCUAAAUUGGGAAAUGCUCACUUGUUUUCAGUAUCUAAACUACUUUUUCUGCAGCAAUAUAUCACUUUUGGAGGAUUAGGAAUGCUUGUAUUUUCUGUAAUAGGGCAAAAGAAUCCCAACUCUGUGUUUUCAAGUGUGAGAUGGAUGUAAUGUGUUGUGUUAUCAAGAGCAUGAAUCUCAUGAACAUCUCUAUUUUGGAUAAUUUUUCCUCAGAAGAGUUUCUGGUUUGGAGGGUACACUCAUGUCUGCUAAAUUUUGAAAAUGCUUCAGUGUUUUCCGUAAAUAAUAAAACUAACUUUUUUCUGCAGCAAUAUAUCACUUUUGGAGGAUAGGAUGCUUGUAUUUUCUGUAUGGCAAAAGAUCCCAACUCUGUUGUUCAAAAUGGUGAGAUGGAUGUAAGGGAUAAGAUCAGCUCUUGGGAUUUGGUGGAAACACUAAACGAAUUGUUCCUCGCCUUCGGUGGAAUAUUCUCCUAGGAUUUUGAAAUGUUUAUAGCUCUGUAAUAGAAGGCUUAUAAACAAUUUGGUGUGCUUGCUGUAAACCUGCCAUCUGGGCUUUGGAGGAGGUUUCUUCUUUGAUUGAUUUGGUGUUCUUUGUUCUUCAAGUAUGCUUCUCUAAUGUCUAGGGAUAUCCCCCUGUUGGUUUACUGCCUGUUUUUCUUUCAAAAAAAGACUUCGUUAUUUAGACUUUUCCCCGGGAAAUAACAAACCUCUUCUUUCCAAUCUUGAAGACCUGCCACCCGCAAAUCUUUUAUGUUGGUUAGGUCUACCUCAGAUAUUACCAUUUCAUUAAAUAGAUAAGACGAAUUGAACAAUUCCAGAUAUCUGGAAUUGAACAAUAAUAGUGAUUAUGGCGCACGAUACACAACAAUGCACAUCCAAACUUUUGUAAGAUCACCAAGUUUUUCCAAAAGAUCCCUAGCACUGUGAGUUUUUAGGACAAUGAAAUCAUGUCAACAAUCGAAUCCUACAUCCAUCAAAGUCCAGAUUGAGAGAACAGAAAAGUCUUAACGAAAAUCAAAACACACACAAAGAAAAGUAAGGGUGAAGACGAAAGAUCAAUUCGCCAUAAUUUGGGAGAGAGAGAGAGAUAGCGAGAUAGAGAGGUCAUCCUCUGUUCGAUCAAUUAGUACAACUAGGCUGAUAACUGAAACCCUAACUUGAUUCGUAAUCCUGACAUAUGAUAACGAUAUGAUGAUGAUGAAGACCUGAUUGCGGCGAUUUUCUGUCCUACGACUCUGCUCUUUCAAUUUCAGUCCGACCCCAUUGAAGAUCGUAGACAUGGAUAGAGAUCUUCCUCCAAUAAGUCGAUUCAUCCUCCCAAAAUAAAGAUUGCAAAUUGUAACACCCUAACUUGAUUUGUAAUCACUAAUAAUAAUGAAGAAGAAGAAGAGACCAGGAUUCAUAUCUGUCCGAAUUUCAAUCAGAUAACUACGAUGGCGCGAGAUGAUGAUGUGAAGACUUGCGACAUUCUGGCCUACGAUUCUGUUCUUCCAAUUUCAGUUUCGACUCUCCAAUUGAAGAAACAGAGACAUAGAUCUCCUCCAUUGUCGAUUCUCUAACUUGCUUUAUAAUGUGAAGACAAGAAUAAGAGAAGAUGAAGAUGAACUGACCAUAAUUCACAUCUUCCAACGUCAAUUAGGCGCUUGAAGAGCGAAAGAAGUUUCUCAAUCGAUGGAAGAUUAAUCUAUAUUGACAAACAUACUCCCUAACUAUCAGUGGAGAGACCAUGAGAAACUUGGGAGGCGUUCUGGGUGUGGUGUGGGGUGGGUGAGAGAGAGAGGAAGAGCAGAGAGUGUGCAUAACAGGUGGGUGGGAAGAAAUUGUGCCGUUUAUAUUUUGAAUAGGAAAAAGAGGGAAAAGGAAAUAAAUAAGUCCUACUCUUUCUUUAUUUUCGUUUUCGUUGGUCUCAAGACGCUAGCAUACACCACGCACACAAAUAUAGCUUUUAGGAUCCGUUUGAUUGGAAGAUAGCCGUAACUUUUUUUCUUGGAUAACUCUCUCUACUAUUUGGCGUUUGGAUGGCUUAAAACGUCUCGAAUAAUUUUUCCUCUAGCAGACGGAUAGAUGACUCUCACCUUAACCAAAAAUUAUCCGAACAGAUAGAGGCGUAUAUUUAUCUAUAUCUAUCUAUAUUAUAUGUAUGAAUAUCUUUAUAUUAGAUAUUUAUAUAUGUAUAUAUAUGUAUAUAUUUAUUUUUUAUAUCUAAAUAUUUUAUAUUUUUCUUCCUUAUUCCCCACCAUUGUUCACCCAUUCUAAAAAGUAUCCAAAUAAAAUUAAAAGUUAUCCCUUCAAAAAGUUAUUACCCUCUUAAAAAUUUAUCCCUGUAAUAUUAUCUGACAGUCAAACGACCCUGUUAGAGUUUUCAAUGGUCUCACCACGCCUCCGAAUUAACCCCACCUGCAUUGGUCGAACCAAAAACCCUAAAAUACCAGCCAAACCACAUGUCCAAAUCCGCCCGCCCCACGCCCCGUAUGUCCCCCACCGCCAAAUAUCUCGUCAUCCUCCGCCCCCAUCUGAUACCCCAGAGAAAUUGGCAAUUCUUCUUAUCACAAUUGUAUCCUCGAGUAGAAUUACCACAAAGAUAGAACCCUAAAGCUUUGCAAUUCACUAAGCCUCCACCCGCGCGACUGUGACCAUGUAUCCCCCACCAUCCCAUCGUCAGUCACCUAAAUUCCACGAACAACCACCACAAACCAUCUUUAGAUCCUCCCCCACCUUUCAUUGUCACCGUUUUACCCCAAACAAAUCCUAACCCAACCCAUCGGGCCUAUCUCCUUUUUCCUCCAUUCGCACUAAUUAUAAACAAUUAGGGCCCGUGGAUGGAGGAUUUUGGAAAGGGAUAAUUUUUCCCUCCGCGAUAACUUUUUUCGAGGGUUUGGACUAGGGAUAUGCCUCCGAUAAUUAUGCCACGGAGUGGAUAUUUUGGCGGACCUAGGCCCAUAACUAAAAAGUUUCCGGGAUAAGGGGUGGGGAUAAGAAAAAAAAAUAUAAGAGAAAACAAAAUGUAUAAAUUGUAUAUACUAACGUUAUAUAUAAAUAAACAAAAAUUUUUAAUAUAUAAAAUUUUAUUUUGUUUCUCUAUAUAUAUUUUCUUCCUAUUCCACCCAUUCUAAAAAGUAUCCAAACAACGUUAUAAAAGUUAUCCCUCGAAAACUUUUAAUCCUCCCUCUAAAAUUUAUCCCCCUUCCAUAUCCUCCAGCCAAACGGACCCUUAGGGACAAAUAUUUUGUAUCAUGUAUUGAUAAACAUUACUCACACAUAGUGGGGGGUCAUAUUAUGCAUUGUACAAAAUACGUUCGUCGUACUACAUUUGACAAUACCUACUCACAUGUGAGGGAGUACAUAUAUGUUGUUCAAAAUUGUAUUAUCUAUAACAUGCUCUCAUUAUAAUUAGUGGGGUCAAAAGGAAUUGAAGAUAAAAUUUUGACACCAAAGGGAUAUUUGGACACCCAAAACAUUUAUUAUUUUCUUCUAUUUCCUUGAAAUACAAACUGAAAAGAACGCUUCUAUUCUUAAUUUGUUUUCAUUUCUUUGUGAAAUGAAACCAAAAAAACAAAAAACAGCUUUUUUUUGGUAAUUCUCUGUCAUUUUCUGGUUCUUUUUCACAAGUUCCAAAAAAACAAUUCCAAGUAUUUAAUUUAUAAAAAUAAAUUUUAUAUUUCUCUAUCACUUUUUUGGUUUCAUUGCGGAAAAAUAAAAAUAAAUAUGGACAUAAAUAAGAAAUCAACAUGGCAAAUAUAAGAGCACCAUGCUUCGAUUUUCAAGUAUCGAGUCACAACGUUCAAACCAAUUUUUUUAACGUUCGUUCCAUAAUCAAAAGAAAUAAUAUUCAUAGUUUAAUCGCUGCAAUACAAAGAAUAUUGCAAAAACAAACCAAAAACAAGCAGACAAUACCCAAUGUGAUAUUGUAAUUAUUAAGAACAUAAAAAACAAAUGUUUCUAAAAUUUAAGAUUAAAACCCCCCAAAAAUAUUACACGUAUUAGUUAUGCAUUACUCAACUUUUUCACAGUUGGAUUAUAUACUCAAGUGUAAGAGGUUCACAAAGUGUUAGCAAAUUUAAUUAGAGACUUAAUUUAUUGUGAUGUUAACUUAAUAAGUAAAGUGUGGUAAAAAAGGCUUAAAAAAUAACUUUUAAUGAUACUAAAAAAUUUUUUUCAAAUUUUACUAUUUGUACAAGUACUAAGUGUAUGGUUCUAAUUGUAGGAUUAGAAUUUAGGCGGUGUACAAGUGCUUAAAUUUAAGUGGCAAAAUCUGUAAAAACACAUUUUGUAAGUGAAAAAUCUCCAAAGUACCCUAUGAUACCCCGACCCAUGAAUCGGCAAUUAAAUUAAUGAUUUCGUUAAUUUAUUAUAUUUGAAGGUAACUCAUAUUGCUUCGUGGUAAAAUUUUUCUGUAUUUAGAUGAAUUAAUAGGUAAGUGUAAAACUGCCACAUCAUGCAUGGGUGAGGUGUCAUGUGUAAGAAUAAAACUGUUCAUUAUAAGUGAAUGCUAGCAACAACUUCACAAGGAAACAAAAGCAAAACAGGCCAGAAAAGAGGAAAAAGGACAUAAGAAAGAAAAAGAGAAAAAGAGAGAAAGGAAAGAAAGAAGUCAAGAAAUAAGAGGAAACUGAGAAGAUGAGAGCUAUCAGGAGUGAAGAACAAAAGAGAAAAGAAGAAAUUAAGAAGACAAAGAAAAAGAAAAUAGCGAAGGACUCGAUACCGGGGAAAAAAAUCGAACCUAUUUUUUUAUCACGGUAAUUUUAAUUCUCACUUCAUUUCUUUGAUUUUUUCUUCUAUUUUGAGACUCAUUAUUGCUUUCAUUUCUAGUAGCAAUUUAACCCUCC
rnacentral:lncRNA from 1 species